AAUUUAAGAGAUUUAAAUAAAAGAAUUGAAUUUAUAUUUCUAAGAAUGCAUUCAGCUCUUUGGAUGAUGGUCAAAAAAUGCAUCAUUUAUUAGUUUACUGAGUAUCUAAGUGUAUUGCUAAAUUUUGUUUAAUUGAUUUGCUUAUAGGCCGAAAGCAUUCUUGAAGGAGAUCAUGGCUCACCUGCUGGAGAGAUUGAUGAAGACAAAGACAAGGAUGAGACUGAAACAGUUAAACAGACUCAAACAUCUGAGGUGUAUGAUGGUAAAGGUUCCAAAAAUGUAAGAUCUGAUGUUUCUGAUCAAGAGGAAGAGGAAGAAAGUGAAGGAUGUCCAGUGUCUAUUAGUUUGUCUAAAGCUGAAACACAGGCUUUAACUAAUUAUGGAAGUGGAGAAGAUGAGAAUGAGGAUGAAGAAAUAGAAGAAUUUGAAGGCCCUGUAGAUGUCCAGACUUCACUUCAGGCUAACAACGAAACUACAGAAGAAAAUGAACAUGAUCAGGUAUUCCAGUGUACACUGAUGCUCC